CACGUAGGGGGCGAGCGUUGUCCGGAUUUAUUGGGCGUAAAGAGCUCGUAGGCGGCUCGGUAAGUCGGGUGUGAAACCUCCAGGCUCAACCUGGAGACGCCACCCGAUACUGCCGUGGCUAGAGUCCGGUAGAGGAGCGUAGAAUUCCUGGUGUAGCGGUGAAAUGCGUAGAUAUCUGGAGGAAUACCGGUGGCGAAGGCGGCAGUCCUGGACCGACAUUCGACGCUGAGGAGCGAAAGCCAGGGGAGCAAACGGG
rnacentral:rRNA from 1 species